GUGCCAGCAGCCGCGGUAAUACGUAGGUGGCAAGCGUUAUCCGGAAUUAUUGGGCGUAAAGCGCGCGUAGGCGGUUUUUUAAGUCUGAUGUGAAAGCCCACGGCUCAACCGUGGAGGGUCAUUGGAAACUGGAAAACUUGAGUGCAGAAGAGGAAAGUGGAAUUCCAUGUGUAGCGGUGAAAUGCGCAGAGAUAUGGAGGAACACCAGUGGCGAAGGCGACUUUCUGGUCUGUAACUGACGCUGAUGUGCGAAAGCGUGGGGAUCAGACAGGAUUAGAUACCCUGGUAGUCAAGGGCG
rnacentral:rRNA from 1 species